rnacentral:tRNA from 1 species
AGUUCUAUAGCUCAGUGGUAGAGCACUUGCCUAGCAUGCAUGAGGUACUGAGUUUGAUCCCCAGCACUAUUA